rnacentral:rRNA from 1 species
GAUGAACGCUGGCGGCGUGCCUAAUACAUGCAAGUCGAGCGAAUGGAUUAAGAGCUUGCUCUUAGGAAGUUAGCGGCGGACGGGUGAGUAACACGUGGGUGAUCUGCCCUGCACUUCGGGAUAAGCCUGGGAAACUGGGUCUAAUACCGGAUAGGACCACUGCCUGCAUGGGUGGUGGUGGAAAGCUUUUGCGGUGUGGGAUGGGCCCGCGGCCUAUCAGCUUGUUGGUGGGGUGAUGGCCUACCAAGGCGACGACGGGUAGCCGGCCUGAGAGGGUGACCGGCCACACUGGGACUGAGAUACGGCCCAGACUCCUACGGGAGGCAGCAGUGGGGAAUAUUGCACAAUGGGCGCAAGCCUGAUGCAGCGACGCCGCGUGAGGGAUGACGGCCUUCGGGUUGUAAACCUCUUUCAGCACCGACGAAGCGCAAGUGACGGCAGGUGCAGAAGAAGGACCGGCCAACUACGUGCCAGCCGCCGCGGUAA